GGGAGUAAAUAGAAGUAAUAGAAGCAUUUAUAGAAGGUAUAUAGGGCAAAUAUGGGUGUAUAAUGCCGUAUAUAGUUGAAUAAGAUGGAUUUGGAAAGUAAAUAGAGGUAAUAGAACCAUUUAUAGAAGGUAUUAAGGGCAAAUAUGGGUGUAUAAAGGCGUAACUAGUUGAAUAAGAUGGAUUUGGGGAGUAAAUAGAGGUAAUAGAAGCAUUAAUUGAAGGUAUAUAGGGCAAAUAUGGGUGUAUAAUGGCAUAUAUAGUGGAAUAAGAUGGAUUUGGGUAGUAAAUAGAGGAAAUAGAAGCAUUUAUGGAAGGUAUAUAGGGCAAAUAUGGGUGUAUAAUGCCGUAUAUAGUUGAAUAAGAUGGAUUUGGGGAGUAAAUAGAGGUAAAAGAAACAUUUAUGGAAGGUAUAUUGGGCAAAUAUGGGUGUAUAAUGAUGUAUUUAGUUGAAUUAGAUAGAUUUGGGGAGUAAAUAGAGAAAAUAGAAGCAUUAAUAGAAGGUAUAUAGGGCAAAUAUGGGUGUACAAUGUCAUAUAUAGUUGAAAAAGAUGGAUUUGGGGAGUAAAUAGAAGUAAUAAAAGCAUUUAUAGAAGGUAUAUAGGGCAAAU